AUACGUAGGGGGCAAGCGUUAUCCGGAUUUACUGGGUGUAAAGGGAGCGUAGACGGUUUGGCAAGUCUGAUGUGAAAGCCCGGGGCUCAACCGCGGGCCUGCAUUGGAAACUGUCAGACUUGAGUGCAGGAGAGGAAAGUGGAAUUCCUAGUGUAGCGGUGAAAUGCGUAGAUAUUAGGAGGAACACCGGUGGCGAAGGCGGCUUACUGGACUGUAACUGACGUUGAGGCUCGAAAGCGUGGGGAGCAAACAGGAUUAGAUACCCGGGUAGUCCACGCCGUAAACGAUGAAUACUAGGUGUUGGGAGACAAUAGUUUCUCGGUGCCGCAGCAAACGCAAUAAGUAUUCCACCUGGGGGGUACGUUCGCAAGAAUGAAACUCAAAGGAAUUGACGGGG
rnacentral:rRNA from 1 species